rnacentral:rRNA from 1 species
AUACGUAGGGGGCGAGCGUUGUCCGGAUUUAUUGGGCGUAAAGAGCAUGUAGGCGGCUUAAUAAGUCGAGCGUGAAAAUGCGGGGCUCAACCCCGUAUGGCGCUGGAAACUGUUAGGCUUGAGUGCAGGAGAGGAAAGGGGAAUUCCCAGUGUAGCGGUGAAAUGCGUAGAUAUUGGGAGGAACACCAGUGGCGAAGGCGCCUUUCUGGACUGGUUCUGACGCUGAGAUGCGAAAGCCAGGGUAGCGAACGGGAUUAGAUACCCCGGUAGUCCUGGCCAUAAACGAUGGGUACUAGGUGUAGGAGGUAUCGACCCCUUCUGUGCCGGAGUUAACGCAAUAAGUACCCCGCCUGGGGAGUACGGCCGCAAGGUUGAAACUCAAAGGAAUUGACGGGG